rnacentral:rRNA from 1 species
UACGUAGGGGGCAAGCGUUGUCCGGAUUUAUUGGGCGUAAAGAGCGUGUAGGCGGCUAGAUAGGUCCGUUGUGAAAACUCGAGGCUCAACCUCGAGACGUCGAUGGAAACCAUCUGGCUAGAGUCCGGAAGAGGAGAGUGGAAUUCCUGGUAUAGCGGUGAAAUGCGCAGAUAUCAGGAAGAACACCAAUGGCGAAAGCAGCUCUCUGGGACGGUACUGACGCUGAGACGCGAAAGCGUGGGGAGCGAACAGG